UACAGAGGGUGCAAGCGUUGCUCGGAUUUACUGGGCGUAAAGCGUACGCAGACGGUGAGAAAGUUCGGAUGUGAAAGCCCCGGGCUCAACCCGGGAACUGCAUCCGAAACCAUCUCGCUAGAGUAUGGGAGAGGGAAGCGGAAUUCCUGGUGUAGAGGUGAAAUUCGUAGAUAUCAGGAGGAACAUCUGCGGCGAAGGCGGCUUCCUGGCCCAUUACUGACGUUCAGGUACGAAAGCGUGGGUAGCAAACAGG
rnacentral:rRNA from 1 species